AGUGAACGCUGGCGGUAGGCCUAACACAUGCAAGUCGAACGGCAGCACAGGAGAGCUUGCUCUCUGGGUGGCGAGUGGCGGACGGGUGAGGAAUACAUCGGAAUCUACCUUUCCGUGGGGGAUAACGUAGGGAAACUUACGCUAAUACCGCAUACGACCUACGGGUGAAAGUGGGGGACCGCAAGGCCUUACGCGAUUAGAUGCGCCGAUGUCCGAUUAGCUAGUUGGCGGGGUAAUGGCCAACCAAGGCGACGAUCGGUAGCUGGUCUGAGAGGAUGAUCAGCCACACUGGAACUGAGACACGGUCCAGACUCCUACGGGAGGCAGCAGUGGGGAAUAUUGGACUAUGGGCGCAAGCCUGAUCCAGCCAUACCGCGUGGGUGAAGAAGGCCUUCGGGUUGUAAAGCCCUUUUGUUGGGAAAGAAAUCCUGUCGAUUAAUACUCGGUGGGGGUGACGGUACCCAAAGAAUAAGCACCGGCUAACUUCGUGCCAGCAGCCGCCGUAAAAC
rnacentral:rRNA from 1 species